rnacentral:rRNA from 1 species
ACCUACCCAGCAGCGGGGGAUAACACUUGGAAACAGGUGCUAAUACCGCAUAGGACUUUUUUUCGCCUGAAAGGAAGUUAAAAGACGCUUUUUGCGUCACUGCUGGAGGGACCCGCGGUGCAUUAGCCAGUUGGUGAGGUAACGGCUCACCAAAGCAACGAUGCAUAGCCGACCUGAGAGGGUGAUCGGCCACACUGGGACUGAGACACGGCCCAGACUCCUACGGGAGGCAGCAGUAGGGAAUCUUCGGCAAUGGACGCAAGUCUGACCGAGCAACGCCGCGUGAGUGAAGAAGGUUUUCGGAUCGUAAAGCUCUGUUGUCAGCCAAGAACAGGAAAAAGAGGCAAUGCUUUUUCUUUGACGGUAGCUGACCAGAAAGCCACGGCUAACUACGUGCCAGCAGCCGCGGUAAUACGUAGGUGGCAAGCGUUGUCCGGAUUUAUUGGGCGUAAAGGGAGCGCAGGCGGUUCGUUAAGUCUGAUGUGAAAGCCCUCGGCUCAACCGAGGAGGGUCAUUGGAAACUGGCGAACUUGAGUGCAGAAGAGGAGAGUGGAAUUCCAUGUGUAGCGGUGAAAUGCGUAGAUAUAUGGAGGAACACCGGUGGCGAAGGCGACUCUCUGGUCUGUAACUGACGCUGAGGCUCGAAAGCGUGGGUAGCAAACAGGAUUAGAUACCCUGGUAGUCCACGCCGUAAACGAUGAGUGCUAAGUGUUGGAGGGUUUCCGCCCUUCAGUGCUGCAGUUAACGCAUUAAGCACUCCGCCUGGGGAGUACGACCGCAAGGUUGAAACUCAAAGGAAUUGACGGGGGCCCGCACAAGCGGUGGAGCAUGUGGUUUAAUUCGAAGCAACGCGAAGAACCUUACCAGGUCUUGACAUCCUUUGUCCGCCCUAGAGAUAGGGCUUCCCCUUCGGGGGCAAAGUGACAGGUGGUGCAUGGUUGUCGUCAGCUCGUGUCGUGAGAUGUUGGGUUAAGUCCCGUAACGAGCGCAACCCUUAUGGCUAGUUGCCAGCAUUUAGUUGGGCACUCUAGUCAGACUGCCGGUGACAAACCGGAGGAAGGUGGGGAUGACGUCAAAUCAUCAUGCCCCUUAUGACCUGGGCUACACACGUGCUACAAUGGGAAGUACAACGAGCGCGCCAAGCCGCAAGGCCGAGCGAAUCUCUGAAAGCUUCUCUCAGUUCGGAUUGCAGGCUGCAACUCGCCUGCAUGAAGCCGGAAUCGCUAGUAAUCGCGGAUCAGCAUG